AUUGAACGCUGGCGGCAGGCCUAACACAUGCAAGUCGAGCGGUAGAGAGAAGCUUGCUUCUCUUGAGAGCGGCGGACGGGUGAGUAAUGCCUAGGAAUCUGCCUAGUGGUGGGGGAUAACGUUCGGAAACGGACGCUAAUACCGCAUACGUCCUACGGGAGAAAGCGGGGGAUCUUCGGACCUCGCGCCAUUAGAUGAGCCUAGGUCGGAUUAGCUAGUUGGUGAGGUAAUGGCUCACCAAGGCGACGAUCCGUAACUGGUCUGAGAGGACGACCAGCCACACUGGGACUGAGACACGGUCCAGACUCCUACGGGAGGCAGCAGUGGGGAAUUUUCCGCAAUGGGCGAAAGCCUGACGGAGCAAUACCGCGUGAGGGAAGAAUGCCUAUGGGUUGUAAACCUCUUUUUUCAGGGAGGAAUCAAAUGACGUGUACCUGAAGAAUAAGCAUCGGCUAACUCCGUG
rnacentral:rRNA from 1 species